rnacentral:lncRNA from 1 species
CUUUCUGGAGAUUGCUCCUCCUGGAGUUUUUCCUGUGAGCCUAUGAUACAGGACUAAGAAAAACUCUGUUUUCUCGGGCUUCAAGGAGGGAUAAACUGAAAAUGUUGUUUUGAGGCCUGAAUCUUUCUUCUCAUAACAAAAUGCUACUACGCAUUAAGUGUGAUGCAGCUACAAACUAGAGUUAAAUCAGGAAAUGAUGGAUGUCAUGGCAGGAAGGAAUGCUCCAGCUGAAUCAUGAUAUUACAGUAUAUGCUUUCUCUGACAUAAUUAAGCAUUCCACUGCUGAAUGAAACUGUGCAGGAGAACUCUGCAGUACCUGUGAAACUCACUACAGUGUUGCGGGGCUAUACUUGAAGGUUAAAGUACUUUUCAGUCAGUAAGACCUUCACCAUACAUUUGAAAUGGAAUUAAUAAGCCUCAUUUGAGUUCCUCUUUUGCUUACUACACAGAUUGUUCCUUUUGAAGCAGUUGGGACAAGAAAGCAAUGUGUAUUGGGUCGUAAAUAUACUAUGUAAAGUGGUGCUUUGAAUGGGGGGGGGGGGGGGGGGGGAGGGGAACACUGAAAUAACAAGCAUAAUUGGUGGUCUCCUAAAUUUUCCUCAUGUGCUUUCAUUUUUUUCUGUCUUGAAGAUGAAGGGAUGCUUUUACAGUCCUUUAUUGUUCUUCGAUCUGUAUUUUUACUGUGAACUUUACAUUUUCAUCUACAGGAUGAAGAUAUAAAUUCAUUUAUGCUAUAUAGUACUCAGUGGCAAUCUUGAAAAAACUUGUUUGUAUGCUUUCCAGCCUUUUCCAUAAAGCAGAAAUAAUACCAAAUUUUGUAUGAGACCAUUCUAUACAAACAAAAAAUACUUGAACCAGGAGCUCUGAUGGUGUUUUUGUAAGCACAUAACUUUUUUUUAAUUCCAAAAAUAGAUCUUUUUGUUGCUGUAACAGUAUACAAACACUUUGUUGUUUUAUAUAACAUGAAGAAAACAUUCCAGUUUUAUUUACUAAUUAUUUACUAUUAAUUAUUUAUUAAGUCAUUAUUCGUCUCAAUCUAGUUGAAUGUAUUUUGUGAAUCAUUUUAGUACUUUUGGUUGAAAUUAUAUCGUGUACUCUUCUGUGUAAAUCUAAGUUCCUCUUUCCCCUUUGAUAAAACCAAGUAGAUCAGCGUAGUCUGGUUUAAUGCUUUUAUAGAUAAUUACUAAAACAGAAAUCUGCUGCUAGAGGUUUAUUUUUCUGACUACGUGCAGCGGUAUAAAAUUCCCCAAAUAACAUAAAGCUUUGUGAUACUGACAUUCUACUGAGAGAGUAUCUUGAAGUAUUCACUUCUAAAAAUUAAAAGAAUGAAGAAUUUACC